rnacentral:lncRNA from 1 species
CUUUGUCUCUAGCUGCUGCGGGAGCUCCAGGUCUAGUCUUUACUGCUCUGUGUAUUCUGCUCCUAGAGGCCCAGCCUCUGUGACUCCGUUAUCUGCAGGUAUUGGGAGAUGCACAGCUAAGAUGCCAGGACCACCUGGAAGCCUAGAAAUGGACUGCCUGAGGUACAAAGUGUAGCCUCUCGAGGGAGCAGGUGGAUGCCCUGGAGCUGAGAGAAAUCUCCUGGUGCACUCUUCCUUGGAAAGGCUGACACCUUGAGACAUUAAGAUUGUCUUCACCCAACUCAGCUUCCGUUUCCUUGGGACACAUUGCUGGUCAAUCAGAUGCUGGUAUUGAGGGAAAAACAUAGAAAUAAUUUCUGGAUUCUCUAAGGGGGCAGAAAAAUAGUGAAAAAAAAUGAUGAAAAAAGAGUGAAAGACAAAUAGUGAAAAAUUUGUAAAGGAAAUUAAAAGGUAAAAUAUUUACGAAUGGUGUAAAAGAGGGACCACUGACAUUUAGGGAUGUGGCCAUAGAAUUCUCUCUGGAGGAGUGGCAAUGCCUGGACACUGCACAACGGAAUUUAUAUAGG